UCUCGGACCAGGCUUCAUUCCCCC
rnacentral:miRNA from 1 species